rnacentral:rRNA from 1 species
UUGACCUCGGAUCAGGUAGGGAUACCCGCUGAACUUAAGCAUAUCAAUAAGCGGAGGAAAAGAAACCAACAGGGAUUGCCUCAGUAACGGCGAGUGAAGCGGCAACAGCUCAAAUUUGAAAUCUGGCCUCUUCGGGGUCCGAGUUGUAAUUUGUAGAGGGUGUUUCGGGCGCGAGCCCGGUCUAAGUUCCUUGGAACAGGACGUCGUAGAGGGUGAGAAUCCCGGUAUGCGA